UUCCUUUUCGACCUCAGAAGUUAAAGGCUCAUAACGGUUCUCCUUGUCAACCAAACGUAAGGUUGACAACUCAUCUAAAAGCUCUAUUGCACGUAUGCCCUUUUUCAUUAAUGACAUACUUUUUAAGGACGAAACACUGUCAGCAAUUAGUGGAAGGUCUAGAGGCACCCUUGUAGCUGGAUGGCCCGAUGGCAGAAGACGUAAAAGUUGAAUGAAAAGCGUUUUGGCAUCGACGUAUAAAAUAUCUUCGCGGGUUACCUUUAAAUUUUGUUUUAAAUCAGGAAUUGAAGAAUCCCAUCGAUUAUAAAGAGGAAGUGUGACAAGGCAAUUGUCUUCCUGUGGAACAGAUUUACACGGCUCGCCUAAUUCUUGAAGAAUUAAAUGAACAUGACUAUCGGGAUCAUAUAAAUUAUCCAAAUUCUCCAAAAUGAUUUCGUGUGUAAGGUAUAUUUCAUUGACGGUCAUCUCAAGUGCUAAGCUCUUCUUUGAUAGAGCUAUAUAUUGGUCAAGUUCCAAAGCCUCGAAAAAGUCACCGACGUUUCCAAGUUUACGCAAAAGAUUGUGAACUUUUUCUUCAUACUCUUUCAACAUAGGUUGAAAAGAAACAUCCAAAUGUGUCUUCGUAGAACUUGUGCCAUUGGCAACACUUUGAAUAAUUUUUGCAAUAGUAGCAAGUGUUUUGCGGACGUUAUCAGAUGGACAACUGUCUAAAAGCAUAGAAGUUUGUGGCGAAAUAAUAGCUGGAUUAACGAAACGAAGAAAGAAAAAUCCACCUAUUAAAGAGCAAAUAGUGCUGUCUGAAAUACUAGGAAACAGACGAUUUGUCAGAUUGCGAAUUAACUUACAGACCCAGCGAAUACCAUAUGGAAUUUCGUCGAUGCUGUUAAGAACAGCAUCUAAAAAUCGUUUUGUCAAAAGCAAUAAUUGAGCAGAACGCUCUUGAAUUGCAUUUUUUACAGCAGGAAACUCUGAAACUUCCUCGUUUGUUAAUAAAUUAUCAUCUUCAGAUGGUGAUAAUUGACCGGUAUUCACCAAAUAGCGAUAAACUGAAAGAGGAUGGAUGUCAAGCUGCAAAUCAGGAUGGAUAGCAACGUCAUUAAUGCAUUGGUAAAGGAUACUACGAAGAUAUGCUUGUCCGGGUCCACGACGUGUAUAAGUUGUAAGCAUUCUAGAUACCGGAGUAUUAGCCCUAAGCAGAGACAAAACGUCAGAAGUGGCCUCAAAUUCGGUGGUUAAUACCAUUUGAAAAAGAGAUAAUAAAAGAUGCUCUUCUCUACUCUCGUAUUGGUUUCCGUAUAUAUUAAACAUAACGAUUUGUAGAAGUGCAUCCAUGUUAAAAAGCUUGACGCGACGAACAAGGCUAGCGAUAUAGGCUGGUUCAGACUGAAGUAAAAAAAACAACGCUCCAUACAACUGAAGCUUACGAUCGUCAGGAAAUGAUCCUUUUACAGCAUUGUAAUUAUCAUUCAGUCGUUUUGCAAACUCAUGCUGUUCUUCUUGUGCCAUUCGAUUUUGGAUAAGAAGUGCAAUUUUGGAAUCAAGGUAGCGUACAUCCCUCUCGAGGACGAAGUUUUGUUUGGACUGACUGGAUAUUUGUUGUUUGAGAUCAUGCAAUUCACGAUCCAAGUGGAAAAAGGCAUCCUCAACGUCGGACUCCAUAUCAAGAUCGAUUGUAUAAAGCACAGAGGUGCUUUCACGAUUCCUUAACAAGGACAAUCGAUUUGUUUGCGGAAGCACCGACGAAGAUAGGGUACCAGAGUGCCGCUUAGUCAUUAUAAAUUUCAAUAGCUAAAAAUUGCCUAAGUAGCUAAUGAACAAGAGAGGGUAGAAAAAAAAAAGAAAGAGUGUAGGGAUCAAGUCAAAGUGUAAAAGAAGAAAACAAGGAUGGAUAUUAUACUAAGUUUUCAAACAAAAAAAAAAUAAAAUAAAAGAGAAAAUCAUCAAAAGAACGUUAUUAGAGGAGAUCGGACAGAACCUAUUGGUUCUAUUAGCAAAACACAGUAUUAAGACCCACUGGCGCCCGAUUAAACGAUUAAAGAAAGCGAAAUUCUUCCAAAGAAAAAAGAAAAGGAUAUAGAAUUUAUAACGUUAUUGAGCAAUUCAAUAGUAUUUGAGCAAAGCGUCCGAGUACGUUAACGUGAAAGGACGUAGGUUCAAUGUGACAAAUCUGGGAAAAAAAGAGAACAAAGAAUAAAAUGCUUGACAAAACACAAAAACAGGGUAGCAAAAUGAUAUUGGACGAAUAAAAUUUAACACAAUACUAGUGAGUGUUGUAUAUGAAGGUAGAUGUAUAUGUA
rnacentral:lncRNA from 1 species